rnacentral:rRNA from 1 species
ACGGAGGGUGCAAGCAUUAAUCGGAUUAACUGGGCGUAAAGGGCGCGUAGGCGGCAAAUCAAGUCAGAUGUGAAAUUCCGAAGCUUAACUUCGGAGCUGCAUCUGAAACUGAUUAGCUAGUGGGUAGACGGAGAAAAUGGAAUUCCACAUGUAGCGGUGAAAUGCGUAGAUAUGUGGAGGAACACCGGUGGCGAAAGCGGUUUUCUAGUUUAUACCAGACGCUGAGGCGCGAAAGCGAGGGGAGCAAACAG